rnacentral:rRNA from 1 species
AUUGAACGCUGGCGGCAGGCCUAACACAUGCAAGUCGAGCGGUAGAGAGGUGCUUGCAUCUCUUGAGAGCGGCGGACGGGUGAGUAAUGCCUAGGAAUCUGCCUAGUGGUGGGGGAUAACGUUCGGAAACGGACGCUAAUACCGCAUACGUCCUACGGGAGAAAGCGGGGGAUCUUCGGACCUCGCGCCAUUAGAUGAGCCUAGGUCGGAUUAGCUAGUUGGUGAGGUAAUGGCUCACCAAGGCGACGAUCCGUAACUGGUCUGAGAGGAUGAUCAGUCACACUGGAACUGAGACACGGUCCAGACUCCUACGGGAGGCAGCAGUGGGGAAUAUUGGACAAUGGGCGAAAGACCUGAUCCAGCCAUGCCGCGUGUGUGAAGAAGGUCUUCGGAUUGUAAAGCACUUUAAGUUGGGAGGAAGGGUAGUAACCUAAUACGUUGCUACUUUGACGUUACCGACAGAAUAAGCACCGGCUAACUUCGUGACCAG